GACGAACGCUGGCGGCGUGCUUAACACAUGCAAGUCGAACGAUGAAGAAGAGAAACGCGAACUUCGGUUCAACUUUCACUUCGGAUUAGUGGCAGACGGGUGAGUAACGCGUGAGCAACCUACCUCUUACAAAGGGAUAGCCUCGGGAAACCGUGAUUAAUACCAUAUGACACAUUCAUAAGGCAUCUUAAGAAUGUUAAAGCUACGGCGGUAAGAGAUGGGCUCGCGUCCCAUUAGCUAGUUGGUGAGGUAACGGCCCACCAAGGCGACGAUGGGUAACCGGCCUGAGAGGGUGAACGGUCACAUUGGAACUGAGACACGGUCCAAACUCCUACGGGAGGCAGCAGUGGGGAAUAUUGCACAAUGGAGGGAACUCUGAUGCAGCGACGCCGCGUGAGAGAUGAAGGAAUUCGUUUCGUAAAGCUCUGUUCUAUGGGAAGAAAAGGACUGUACCAUAGGAGAAAGCCCCGGCUAAAUACGUG
rnacentral:rRNA from 1 species